rnacentral:rRNA from 1 species
UAAGGAAUAUUGGGCAAUGGACGGAAGUCUGACCCAGCCAUGCCGCGUGCAGGAAGACGGCCCUCUGGGUUGUAAACUGCUUUUAGCAGGGGAUAAUGAUCUGUACGGGAUAUAGAUUUGAAGGUACCUGUUGAAUAAGCAUCGGCUAACUCCGUGCCAGCAGCCGCGGUAAUACGGAGGAUGCGAGCGUUAUCCGGAUUCAUUGGGUUUAAAGGGUGCGCAGGCGGACUAAUAAGUCAGCGGUGAAAUACUACGGCUCAACUGUAGCUGUGCCGAUGAUACUGUUAGACUGGAGAUUAAAUGAGGUUGGCGGAAUGUGUCAUGUAGCGGUGAAAUGCAUAGAUAUGACACAGAACACCGAUAGCGAAGGCAGCUGACCGAUUUACAUCUGACGCUCAU